CCUACGGGGGGCAGCAGUGAGGAAUAUUGGUCAAUGGACGAGAGUCUGAACCAGCCAAGUAGCGUGAAGGAUGACUGCCCUAUGGGUUGUAAACUUCUUUUAUAUGGGAAUAAAAUGUUCCACGUGUGGGAUUUUGUAUGUACCAUAUGAAUAAGGAUCGGCUAACUCCGUGCCAGCAGCCGCGGUAAUACGGAGGAUCCGAGCGUUAUCCGGAUUUAUUGGGUUUAACGGGAGCGUAGGUGGAUUGUUAAGUCAGUUGUGAAAGUUUGCGGCUCAACCGUAAAAUUGCAGUUGAAACUGGCAGUCUUGAGUACAGUAGAGGUGGGCGGAAUUCGUGGUGUAGCGGUGAAAUGCUUAGAUAUCACGAAGAACUCCGAUUGCGAAGGCAGUUCACUGGACUGCAACUGACACUGAGGCUCGAAAGUGUGGGUAUCAAACAGGAUUAGAUACCCCAGUAGUC
rnacentral:rRNA from 1 species